rnacentral:rRNA from 1 species
UACAGAGACUGCAAGCGUUAUUCGGAUUCACUGGGCGUAAAGGGUGCGCAGGCGGCCAAGUGUGUGAGGCGUGAAAGCCCGGGGCUUAACCCCGGAAUUGCACCUCAAACUACAUGGCUAGAGCAUUGGAGAGGGUAGCGGAAUUCACGGUGUAGCAGUGAAAUGCGUAGAUAUCGUGAGGAACACCAGAGGCGAAGGCGGCUACCUGGACAAUUGCUGACGCUCAGGCACGAAAGCGUGGGGAGCAAAAGGGG